rnacentral:rRNA from 1 species
CCUAAUGCAUACUUAGUACGGCGAGUGAGCGGUAAAAGCUCAAAUUUGAAAUCUGGUACUUUCAGUGCCCGAGUUGUAAUUUGUAGAAUUUGUCUUUGAUUAGGUCCUUGUCUAUGUUCCUUGGAACAGGACGUCAUAGAGGGUGAGAAUCCCGUUUGGCGAGGAUACCUUUUCUCUGUAAGACUUUUUCGAAGAGUCGAGUUGUUUGGGAAUGCAGCUCAAAGUGGGUGGUAAAUUCCAUCUAAAGCUAAAUAUUGGCGAGAGACCGAUAGCGAACAAGUACAGUGAUGGAAAGAUGAAAAGAACUUUGAAAAGAGAGUGAAAAAGUACGUGAAAUUGUUGAAAGGGAAGGGCAUUUGAUCAGACAUGGUGUUUUUUGCAUGCACUCGCCUCUCGUGGGCUUGGGCCUCUCAAAAAUUUCACUGGGCCAACAUCAAUUCUGGCAGCAGGAUAAAUCAUUAAGAAUGUAGCUACUUCGGUAGUGUUAUAGCUUUUUGGAAUACUGUUAGCCGGGAUUGAGGACUGCGCUUCGGCAAGGAUGUUGGCAUAAUGGUUAAAUGCCGCCCGUCUUGACCACACGGAACCA